rnacentral:rRNA from 1 species
AAUGAACGCUGGCGGCGCGCCUAAUACAUGCAAGUCGAGCGAGAAGACGUAGCAAUACGUUUGUAAAGCGGCGAACGGGUGAGGAAUACAUGGGUAACCUACCCUCGAGUGGGGAAUAACUAGCCGAAAGGUUAGCUAAUACCGCGUACGCUUCUUGGACUUCGGUUCAGGGAGGAAAGCGAUGCCGAGGGUAUCGCGCUCUUGGAUGGGCUCAUGUCCUAUCAGCUUGUUGGGAGUAC